rnacentral:rRNA from 1 species
CACGUAGAAGACUAGUGUUAUUCAUCUUUAUUAGGUUUAAAGGGUACCUAGACGGGAAAUCAAGCCAUAACAGGGACUAAUUUUCUAGAGUUUUAUGAGAGAAGGGGCGAAUUUCUGGAGGAAAGUUGAUAUUUUUUGUGAAUACUGGAAGGACGGGUAACAGCGAAGGCAACCUUUUAUGUAAAAACUGACGUUGAGGGACGAAGGCCUUGGGUAACGAGAACGGUAGUUACGAAACCCCAAGAUUGAGAACCC